GACGAACGCUGGCGGCGUGCUUAACACAUGCAAGUCGAACGGAAAGGCCCUGCUUGCAGGGUACUCGAGUGGCGAACGGGUGAGUAACACGUGGGUGAUCUGCCCUGCACUUCGGGAUAAGCCUGGGAAACUGGGUCUAAUACCGGAUAGGAGCCAUUUUUAGUGUGAUGGUUGGAAAGCUUUUUCGGUGUAGGAUGAGCUCGCGGCCUAUCAGCUUGUUGGUGGGGUAAUGGCCUACCAAGGCGGCGACGGGUAGCCGGCCUGAGAGGGUGGACGGCCACAUUGGGACUGAGAUACGGCCCAGACUCCUACGGGAGGCAGCAGUGGGGAAUAUUGCACAAUGGGCGCAAGCCUGAUGCAGCGACGCCGCGUGGGGGAUGACGGCCUUCGGGUUGUAAACUCCUUUCGCUAGGGACGAAGCUUUUUGUGACGGUACCUAGAUAAGAAGCACCGGCUAACUACGUG
rnacentral:rRNA from 1 species